UUACGGCCACAUCAACUUGAAACACCGGUUUCCGUACGACCAUCGAAGUUAAGCAACGUCGAGCCUGGACGGGUGACCGCUUGGGAAUACCAGUUGCUGUAAG